AGAGAGAGACAUGCGCGCAUAUCAAUAAGCGGAGGAAAAGAAACUAACAAGGAUUCCCCUAGUAACGGCGAGUGAAGCGGGAAGAGCUCAAAUUUGAAAUCUUAAAGGGUUUCCCUUUACGAAUUGUAGUUUAAAGAAGUGUUUUCUGUUGAGGUUUUGGUAAAAGUUCUUUGGAAUAGGACAUCAUAGAGGGUGAGAAUCCCGUAUUUGACCUUUACUUUCAACUUUGUGAUACACUUUCAAAGAGUCGGAUUGUUUGGGAAUGCAGUCCAAAAUGGGUGGUAAAUUUCAUCUAAAGCUAAAUAUUGGCGAGAGACCGAUAGCGAACAAGUACCGUGAGGGAAAGAUGAAAAGAACUUUGAAAAGAGAGUUAAACAGUACGUGAAAUUGUCAAAAGGGAAGCGUUUGACACCAGUGUUGUUUUUCUGAAAAUCAAUUAAAGAACUGUUUAUGCUAAGUUGUUUAGACUUUAUCAGCUAACUGUUUAGUUUUGAGCUUUUCUUUAAUGCACUUUUCAGUUAACAAGUCAGCAUCAAUUUCUUUUGCUGUAAAAAAGCUUGAGGAAGGUGGCUUGAGAUUCGUCUUAAGUGUUUAUAGCCUCUUGCCUAUGCAGUCGGAGAGAUUGAGGUCUGCAGCGUAGAUCCUUCGGGGCUAAAUGCAUUUGUGCUAAGUUAUAGCAUUUUAUAGACAACUUGUUGACUAUGAUUUGUCUUGUAGCUUACUCGCUUAUGUUAUUUUACCUACGCUUAGGAUGUUGAGCGCAUGUCUCUCUCU
rnacentral:rRNA from 1 species